rnacentral:lncRNA from 1 species
GAGGCGCAAGCAGGGAUCGACGGUGGGCGCGGCGGGCUACUGGUCGGCGCUUGGGUCGUCGUGGGUCGGCGCGACGAUGGCUGGUGGAGACCGGCGGUGUGAGCGCAGCGCGGGUGAAGAGAAACUGGCGAUUGGGGCUGUGAAAGUGGUGAAGAUGAUGAACAGUAGGGGUCAAAUCACCUCUGCCUUUUACUUUUCUC